AUUGAACGCUAGCGGCAGGCCUAACACAUGCAAGUCGAACGAGUGGCGGACGGGUGAGUAAUGUAUGGGGAUCUGCCCGAUAGAGGGGGAUAACUACUGGAAACGGUGGCUAAUACCGCAUACUAUCGGAUGAACCCAGAUGGGAUUAGCUAGUAGGUGGGGUAACGGCUCACCUAGGCGACGAUCCCUAGCUGGUCUGCGAGGAUGAUCAGCAAAACUGGGACUGAGACACGGCCCAGACUCCUACGGGAGGAAGCAGUGGGGAAUAUUGCACAAUGGGGGAAAGCCUGAUGCAGCCAUGCCGCGUGUAUGAAGAAGGCCUUAGGGUUGUAAAGUACUUUCAGCGGGGAGGCGUUACCCGCAGAAGAAGCACCGGCUAACUCCGUGCCAGCAGCCGCGGUAAUAC
rnacentral:rRNA from 1 species